UACGUAGGCAGCGAGCGUUGUUCGGAAUUACUGGGCGUAAAGAGUGUGUAGGCGGUGCUCCCAGUCUGUUGUGAAAUCUCCCGGCUUAACUGGGAGGGUGCAGCGGAAACUAGAGUGCUAGAGGGUGGGAGAGGUAAGCGGGAUUCCUGGUGUAGCGGUGAAAUGCGUAGAUAUCGGAAGGAACACCAGUGGCGAAAGCGGCUUCCUGGUCCAGCACCGACGUUCAGGCACGAAAGCGUGGGGAGCAAACAGG
rnacentral:rRNA from 1 species